UUUUUUUUUUCUGUAACAGAGCAAGAACUACAAAAUUGAACUUUAUAUUAGUACACAUUGGCAUUAUAAAGCCUGUUUCUUCUAUAGCUCUCUUCCUAAACCUAUCUCUGCCUGCUUUGUUACUUGAUUACUUUAACAAACCUUAACAAGUUAAGCCACUCAUUGGAACAUUUGGGGUUGAAAAAAAUAUAUCAAGCUUCCAAGAAAAAAUUAUGCAUUCCUAUUCUAACAACGUACUCUGUUAAUUUAGAGUCGCAAGCCAAAUGGUGGACUCGCUUACUACCUCCUUCGCCUGUUAAUAUUGGACUCAAAAGCCAAACAGAGACUUUCUCCUACUUCCACCUUCGCCAUAUUGGUCAUUCCAUUUUCUCAGCUCAUUCAUGCUUGCAG
rnacentral:misc_RNA from 1 species